rnacentral:rRNA from 1 species
UACAGAGGUCCCGAGCGUUGUUCGGAUUCACUGGGCGUAAAGGGUGCGCAGGUGGGUUGGCAAGUUUGAUGUGAAAGCCCCGGGCUUAACCCGGGAAAGGCAUUGAAUACUGCUGAUCUGGAGGAUCGGAGGGGGGACUGGAAUUCUUGGUGUAGCAGUGAAAUGCGUAGAUAUCAAGAGGAACACCGGUGGCGAAGGCGGGUCUCUGGGCCGAUACUGACGCUGAGGAGCGAAAGCGUGGGGAGCGAACAGG